UUCAAAGUGGCAUUAUAAAGAUGCAACAUUAUCCAAAUACAUGAACCUAUAAAAUAUCCAUUAAUUAAUAUGACUGUUUGAGAUUUGAUCUCAAAGUCGAGGUUAAUAAAAAGAUACAUAAAUACAUAAUACAUUUAUCUACAAAAUAAUUUAAGCUUGGACAAAAAAGCAAAAUUGUCUACUAUAAAAUAAUAGCAAUUGUCUAUACUAAUCUGAAUGAAGUAAAACCAAACAUGUCGCCAAUAUGGAUUUAUGAAUAGAACUAUGGCAAUUGCCAAUAAGACCAUAAUGUAAGCCACCCCAAAACUCACAUAGAAAACACCCAUAUCCAUGAAAAAAUUACUUUCUUCAUCGUCAAUUGAACUUCUUGAAGUUGAUGGAGGGGAUACCAUUACAAUACAAUUCUCUUGCAUUGGCCAUCCAUGAAGAAGAGGGUUACCUCGAUAGCUACUUUCAUCAAAUGUUGCAAAUUGAGCAACCCUUUCAGGUGUUCUACCAGAUAAAUUAUUGUAUGACACAUUGAAAACUUCCAAAAAAUUUAACUCAGUAAGCUGGGAAGGGAUGUGGCCUUGCAAGUUGUUGUAUGAAAGAUCCAAGCUCUCAACUUGGCUUAAGUUGGAAAAUGAUGCUGGGAUUUUUCCUAUCAAAUUGUUAUGGGACAAAUUUAGUACAUGGAUCUCAUUGAGGUUUCCAAUUUGGAUAGGAAUUUGGCCUGUCAAAUUGUUGCAUGAGAGAUCAAUUCCAGAUAUAUAAGAUAGCAUACCUCUUUUGUAAGAAUAGGAUCUACUCUUUGUUGUAAACUCUAAAGGUUCAUCCAUAGAAACAGGAGCAGAAGCAUUAUAUGAACCAUCUUGUUGCCUAUAUGAGUUGCUUGUAGAUCUUAAGCAAGGGAGAAUAGGACCAGAAAGAUGAUUAUGAGAAAGAUCAAUCAAACUUAAUUGAGUCAAAUUGCACAACUGAAUUGGGAUUUUCGCUUCAAUAUUGUUGUGACCCAAGAUUAGAUAGCUCAAUUGAGAAAAUUUUCCAAUCCAAGGCGGAAUGCUUCCAGUCACAUUAUUAUGGCUAAGAUCUAACACAAUCAGCUCAAAGCAACCAUAAAAUGCAUCCUUCAAAGAUCCUUGCAGCCCAUUUCUAGACAAAUAAAGUUCUUGUAUGUUUGCAGGGCAAAAGUUAGAUGGUAGAUUUCCAGAGAUAUUAUUCAUUGAAAGAUCCAAAAUCUCAAGAUAAGACAUGUUCCCCAACCACCAUGGAAUUUUACCGGAUAUGUCGUUAUGACUAAGAUCCAACACUCGUAAAAAAGUGCAGUUAGACAAGCUAUGUGGAAUGCUGCCAGUGAAUUGAUUGCCAUCCAAUUGUAACUCUCUCAAAAAUCUUAAGUUAAAGGUUCUAGAAAAUAUUUGGCCUUGUAAACUGUUGUUUGAAAGUAUGAGCUCAACUAAUGAGAUACAACCAAUGGUUAAAUACUCUGGUAUACUACCUGACAAUUUAUUGUUGGAUAAGUCUAAGGUUUGCAGUAAGCUCAUAUUUCCAAAUGAAGAGGGAAUGCUACCAUUGAAAUCAUUUGAAGACAAGUCCAUAUAUCUCAAUCUUGGCAAAUAUGUUCCUAUCUGCAGUGGAAUAUUGCCAUGGAAGAAAUUAUCUGAGAUAUCUAACUCUGACAAAUUCAUAUGAGAAUGAUGUGGUAAUUGAAGAAGUCCUGAAAGGGAAUUGUUUUCUAAAAAAAGGCCUUCUAGUUUUGUGUUGUUUUCUAACAACCAAUAUGGAAACCCUCCUCCCAUUUUCAAGCUUGAGAGAUCAACAUAUUGUAAAUUGUGUUGAUGAUAGAGGAAUUUGGGGAAUACUCCACCGCAUGCAUAACUAGAGAAAGAGAGAUGAUCUAAUUGAAACUUUGGGGUCAAAUUUUGAUCAUUUGUUUCUGCAUAUAUUUUAUUUGUACCCACAUUUUCAAAGAAUUUGAGUUUUGAAUGGUUGAAAAAUGGACUCAAUGAGAUUGGGAUUUGGAAAAGAUUGUCUGAGACCUCUAGAAGCUCGAGGUUUGUUAAAUCUCUAAGUGGAGAUAAAGAGAUGUUUCCGAUGAAAUUAUUGGAAGAGAGAUACAAAAAUUGAAGAGAUGUCAAGUUGGCAAGACAUGAAGGCAAGCUACCACUGAUUUCAUUAUCGGAAAUGUCUAACUCUUGGAGUUGUUUUAGUUUACACACACCUUGGUUUAAAAACUUCGUGUCAUUAAGUUCACAACUACUCAAUGAUAAUUU
rnacentral:misc_RNA from 1 species